rnacentral:rRNA from 1 species
AUUGAACGCUGGCGGCAUGCCUUACACAUGCAAGUCGAACGGCAGCGGGCCCUUCGGGGUGCCGGCGAGUGGCGAACGGGUGAGUAAUGCAUCGGAACGUACCCGGGAGAGGGGGAUAACCGGCCGAAAGGCUGGCUAAUACCGCAUGAACUCGGAAGAGCAAAGCGGGGGACCUUCGGGCCUCGCGCUCUCGGAGCGGCCGAUGUCCGAUUAGGCUAGUUGGUGGGGUAAAGGCCCACCAAGGCGACGAUCGGUAGCGGGUCUGAGAGGACGAUCCGCCACACUGGGACUGAGACACGGCCCAGACUCCUACGGGAGGCAGCAGUGGGGAAUCUGGGACAAUGGGCGCAAGCCUGAGCCAGCAAUGCCGCGUGGGUGAAGAAGGCCUUCGGGUUGUAAAGCCCUUUCGGCGGGGAAGAAAUCGGUCAGGCGAAUAGUCUGGCCGGAUGACGGUACCCGCAGAAGAAGCACCGGCUAACUACGUG